CUACAAUAAAGUUAUUGAUGGAAUUAAACUCCCUAAUUAAGGCUUCAGGAUCUUCCCCAGGAACUAGUCACAGUGAUGUCACAUCAAAGUUUGACUGUGUGUACUGGUAUGGAGAUUUGAAUUUCCGACUAGAGAGAAAGAAAUUGGCUGUUGAAGGCAUGGUAUCACACAUAGAGAAACAAGAAUUUCCGACUAGAGAGAAAGAAAUUGGCUGUUGAAGGCAUGGUAUCACACAUAGAGAAACAAGAAUUUCCGACUAGAGAGAAAGAAAGUGGCUGUUAAUGGCAUGGUAUCACACAUAGAGGCACAAGAAUUUCCGACUAGAGAGAAAGAAAUUGGCUGUUGAAGGCAUGGUAUCACACAUAGAGAAACAAGAACUUCCGACUAGAGAGAAAGAAAGUGGCUGUUGAUGGCAUGGUAUCACACACACAGGCACAAGAAUUUCCGACUACAGAGAAAGAAAGUGGCUGUUGAUGGCAUGGUAUCACACACACAGGCACAAGAAUUUCCGACUACAGAGAAAGAAAGUGGCUGUUGAUGGCAUGGUAUCACACACAGAGGCACAAAAAUUUCCGACUACAGAGAAAGAAAGUGGCUGUUGAUGGCAUGGUAUCACACACAGAGGCACAAGAAUUUCCGACUACAGAGAAAGAAAGUGGCUGUUGAUGGCAUGGUAUCACACACAGAGGCACAAGAAUUUCCGACUACAGAGAAAGAAAGUGGCUGUUGAUGGCAUGGUAUCACACAUAGAGGCACAAGAAUUUCCGACUAGAGAGAAAGAAAGUGGCUGUUGAUGGCAUGGUAUCAUACAUAGAGGCACAAGAAUUUCCGACUACAGAGAAAGAAAUUGGCUGUUGAAGGCAUGGUAUCAUACAUAGAGGCACAAGAAUUUCCGACUAGAGAGAAAGAAAUUGGCUGUUGAAGGCAUGGUAUCAUACAUAGAGGCACAAGAAUUUCCGACUACAGAGAAAGAAAUUGGCUGUUGAUGGCAUGGUAUCAUACAUAGAGGCACAAGAAUUUCCGACUAGAGAGAAAGAAAGUGGCUGUUGAUGGCAUGGUAUCAUACACAGAGGCACAAGAAUUUCCGACUAGAGAGAAAGAAAGUGGCUGUUGAUGGCAUGGUAUCACACAUAGAGGCACAAGAAUUUCCGACUAGAGAGAAAGAAAGUGGCUGUUGAAGGCAUGGUAUCAUACAUAGAGGCACAAGAAUUUCCGACUAGAGAGAAAGAAAGUGGCUGUUGAUGGCAUGGUAUCAUACAUAGAGGCACAAGAAUUUCCGACUAGAGAGAAAGAAAGUGGCUGUUGAUGGCAUGGUAUCACACAUAGAGGCACAAGAAUUUCCGACUACAGAGAAAGAAAUUGGCUGUUGAAGGCAUGGUAUCAUACAUAGAGGCACAAGAAUUUCCGACUAGAGAGAAAGAAAGUGGCUGUUGAAGGCAUGGUAUCAUACAUAGAGGCACAAGAAUUUCCGACUACAGAGAAAGAAAUUGGCUGUUGAUGGCAUGGUAUCACACAUAGAGGCACAAGAAUUUCCGACUAGAGAGAAAGAAAGUGGCUGUUGAUGGCAUGGUAUCAUACAUAGA
rnacentral:lncRNA from 1 species